UUCCCUUCUUUAAUUUGCUUUUCCCCUUUUUUUGCAUCUUUGUGCUUUUGUGUAUCUGGGACAGCAUCUUUUUUUUGGGUAGGCAUGGGACAGCAUCUUAAGCUUGCUUUCAUUGCAGGUACCUGAAUCAUAAUCAAUUUACUGGGAGAAUCCCGGAUGCAUUCUAUAAGUACACUUUCUUGAAAGAAAUGUAUAUUGAAGGAAAUGCUUUCCGGCCAGGUGUGAACCCUAUUGGCGUCCACAAUGUCCUCGAAGUUUCUGACACAGAGUUCUUGUUUUAGUCAAAGCUUCCACAUAUUAUUUACUCGUAGAAUUGUUUCUUUUUGUUCUUGCUAAAACUAGGGUGUUUCAGUUUGAAUUGGAAUGUAGUUCUAUAAAUAGGAUGUAUAUAAUGUACACUAGUGUUUUGGGAAAUUUAAGAAAUUUUGGAAGUAGGUUGUUUGACAGUUUAGAAAGGUGUUGUUGGAUUCUUUGGUUGUCAUUAUUUUGUGUGAACAAUGUCUGGUGGAACACCAUGGUGGGGAUGUCUGGUUGUUUCAGUUUGAAUUGGAACAAUGUCUGGUUGUUUGACAGAAAUUUAAUAAAUCGAAUGUUAAUGAAUUAUGUAUUGUGUCGAA